GGGAGUGUAGCUCAACAGAAUAGAGCACCGAUCUUCUAAAUCGGCCUGUGUAGGUUUGAGUCCUGCCACUCCUGCCA
rnacentral:tRNA from 1 species